GAUGAACGCUGGCGGCGUGCCUAAUACAUGCAAGUCGAGCGAACAGACGAGGAGCUUGCUCCUCUGACGUUAGCGGCGGACGGGUGAGUAACACGUGGAUAACCUACCUAUAAGACUGGGAUAACUUCGGGAAACCGGAGCUAAUACCGGAUAAUAUAUUGAACCGCAUGGUUCAAUAGUUAAAUACGGUUUUUCUGUCACUUAUAGAUGGAUCCGCGCCGCAUAGCUAGUUGGUAAGGUAACGGCUUACCAAGGCGACGAUGCGUAGACGACCUGAGAGGGUGAGCGGCGAAACUGGAACUGAGACACGGUACAGAGUACUACGGGAGGAAGCAGUAGGGAAUAUUCCGCAAGGGGCGAAAGCAUGACGGAGCAACGCCGAGUGAGUGAUGAAGGUCUUAGGAUCGUAAAACUCUGUUAUUAGGGAAGAACAAAUGUGUAAGUAACUAUGCACGUAUUGACGGUAACUAAACAGAAAGCCACGGCUAACUACGUG
rnacentral:rRNA from 1 species